UGUCUCCUACAAAGAAGGGAAAAUGAACCCUGGUCUGAGCCUAGAACAAGUUUUAAUGGGGCAUGUCUGACAUUUCAAAUUAUUUUUCUCUUGCUGACAGUCUGCUCCCAGGUACAUCUAAGGCCUUGGUCAGCUUCUCUGUUACCAGUGGCUCACUUUAUAAAACAGCCCACAGGGAUAAGGGCUGAAAGUAUAGCCACUUGGCUACAUCAUUGAUUAAUUAAGUAAGUUAACUGUGGACUUACAGCAUCUUUUCAGGAUGUUAGUGCUUUGUGAGCCAGUGGAAAAAAAUAAGCUUCUAUUUCUUCAUUUGUAAAACCAGAGAGUUGGAUUAGAUGAAUCUCUAACGUCCUGUCCAACUCAAAUGUGCUUUCCUCCAUACUAGGGUAUAGAUUUUUGAAGAGCCAAGCUGACUUCAGCAUCACCUCACUCUUUGGUCUCUAGUAUUACUUCUUUACAUUUUACUUCAUUAGCUAUUUCUUAAUAUUAAAUAUCUGAAGAGCUUGUGGCACUGUGUCCGGAGUUUAGGGCAUUGAAAGGUUGAUGACAUCAUGAAAGACCUGGGAAACCCUGCUCUUAAGGAAAUUGUACCGGUGUUGGAACUCAUUGACCAGUUAAAGAGCUCUUUGGAGACUCAAGCAUAUUAUUCAACAUGUUUUUGGGAUUAUCUUCAAAUGAUAGUCACCUACCUCUUUCAUUUCUAAUUUUUAUUCACAAGUAAAAUUGUUUUUGUCCAUAGGGAUUUUAUAGGACAUAAGCACUGUAGUAGAUACUGGUAGCAUGUUGUAUUUUGCUUUCCAUUUUCAAUAUAAACUAGAUUUCAAGCAGAUAUCGAUACGGACUUUUUUUUAUUAGACUUUCUCUGAGGAAAGUCAGCAUGAUCUGUAUUCAUCUUACAUAUUGGUAGGUCAUGAAGACUCCUUUUUGGCUGGAGUUGAAACUGAGCUUUGUUUUCUUUGUUCCUGUUUUAUGGGCAGUCUUUAGGUACUUUCAUGCUACUUAAUAGGCAGUGCCUCAUUUGGUGAGAGUUCUGGAGUGCCUGCCGAGACGCUCCCUGUUUGUGAACAAAGAUUAUGAAGGGGUCUUUGUGAGAAUUCAGCAACAACACUGAACAGCAGUUUUUUUUUACACUGGAUUAUCUUGAUCUGAUGAGAGUUUACAAAUCAUUUUGAACAUUUUUAUUAUGUAUACAUUUUGAAAGCUUUAAAAAUAAGUACUACGGAGCACCUUUGAGAAAUGUAGGAGCAAAAUCAUUUGUUGCCUAUUCCCCCAUAUUUUCUUGAGGCAGGGAAAGAUACCACUACUAAUUCUCACUGCUGACAGGCAUAAUCCGAAAUGGUUUUUUGUUUGCCUAUUUUUCCUUCUGGCUAGUAAGAAGCAUGACCACAAACGAAAUAUUUGUGGUCAAAAGAAAGAUGCAAGAGAAAUUCCAAAUAGUAUGAAGUCAUGUUUUUUAAACUUUUAAUACAUGUUUAAGCAUUCCCAAGGGAGCUUGUUAGCAGUACAGAUUCCUGGGCCCCCAGAGGAUCUGUGGUUGAGCCCAGGAAUGUGCAUUUUUAUUUUAUUGAGCACUCUGCCUGACUCUGGCUCAGGUAGUCCCUGGGAAACACUUCAGGAAACAUUCUUGUAGAAAAUAUAUCUAUUUAAAUAUUGUCUGUUUUAUCCCACAAUGUUUGUUUUGCGUCGCAAGCCAUUAUCUUCUAGGCAUGGGUAAUCCACAUUGAGAGGAAAAUCUACACAACAUUGUGCCUAAUUUGCUGCCACCUGUGUUUGUGCUGGAUCUUGCCAGUGUUAGCUUUAUUUUCUUUCAACUGGCAAAAUACUGAUAAAGCAUAUAGCUUCACAGUAGAGCAAAAAAGGUGACUAAAUUGAAAGUCAUGACUGUCAGCAGUCUAAUUAUGCUAAUAUUUUAUUUUCUUCUAGAGAGGUAUCUUUAUUGUAUGUAAUUCCCUGAAGAAAUGUAAAGAUUUAUCUAAUUCCCAUUGCUCUGCCAGUUGUGUUCGAUGGAAGCAUUGAAGUAAAAUAAAAUAACCUUUUUAAUCUCUGUAUUUCUGUUGCCCACAAAGAUAUUUAAAUUUUUUCUUGAUCUUUGUUUUUGUUUAUGUGAAAAUAUUUACGUAUGUAUCAUUUCUGUAUAUAUCACAGAAAAGUUUUCACUUGCUUGACAUUUUAUUCUACAAUGAUUUUUAGUUUAAGUUUAAAGAAUGGCUACAUUCAGAUUUAUUUUCACAACUAUAGUCCUGCUAAACUGCCUUCAUUGAAAACUCAGUUUUUAUAAUAAAAAAUGUCAAAGCACAAGUUUGUUAUUGGAGGUAAAUUAUGUUUCUCAGAUAUCUAUUGGUACUAGACCUUUGUGAUUAAAAUUAAUUUAUUUUACAAUAGUAACUGACCUAUAUGGAGAAAAAGAAACACCUUGAAUUAUGGGUUCUAAUAUUUAAAUAUAAAAAAAUAAAAAAA
rnacentral:lncRNA from 1 species